GUCAAGCUUCUUAGAUCAAGUAGCUACUGGGUUCUUUGCAGGAUAUAGGUAUAGAGUACUUUUAUGGAUUAUCCAGCCUAGAACCAUGUGUGGGCAUGUUACGGUCAACAUGUGGAGGUCACUGGACUACUUGUACCUUGUCCUUCCACAGUGUGGGUCCCAGGACUUGUCAGGUCAUUAAGCUCUACAACAAGCACCUGCUUGCUGACUCUUGGGUCUCCUGUGUUCACCUCCCAAGUGUAAUUAUAGCCCUUUUCACGGCUGGAGCCCAGGCCCAAGAGGACUCCACCUUAAAACCUCCACAUGGAUCUACGUCUCAUUCUAAACAAACUGAAUUCAGACCUCACUCAAACCACUUCUCGCCAAAGGAGCACAGGACAGGUUCUCCAAGAAUCACGAGUGUUGCAGUUCACAGUGUCCAGCCUGAAGAUGAUGGCAAAGGAGUCGUGUCUAGGACAAAGGCCACAUCAUAAAAUAUACACGAAGACGCCCUAAAA